UACGUAGGCAGCAAGCGUUGUUCGGAAUUACUGGGCGUAAGGAGUGUGUAGGCGGUGCUCCAAGUCUGGUGUGAAAUCUCCCGGCUUAACUGGGAGGGUGCAUUAGAAACUGGAAUGCUAGAGGUUGGGAGAGGUAAGCGGAAUCCCUGGUGUAGCGGUGAAAUGCGUAGAUAUCAGGAGGAACACCUGUGGUGUAGACAGCUUACUGGACCAUUUCUGACGCUGAGACACGAAAGCGUGGGUAGCAAACAGG
rnacentral:rRNA from 1 species